UGCGAGUCGACACAGCAAUGUGUGGCAUACGGCUCAGUAACACGUAGUCAACAUGCCCAGGGGACGUGGAUAACCUCGGGAAACUGAGGAUAAACCGCGAUAGGUCACUACUUCUGGAAUGGGUAAUGACCCAAACCUACAUGGCCCCUGGAUUGGACUGCGGCCGAUCAGGCUGUUGGUGAGGUAAUGGCCCACCAAACCUGUAACCGGUACGGGCUCUGAGAGGAGGAGCCCGGAGAUGGGCACUGAGACAAGGGCCCAGGCCCUAUGGGGCGCAGCAGGCGCGAAACCUCUGCAAUAGGCGAAAGCUUGACAGGGUUACUCUGAGUGAUUUCCGUUAAGGAGAUCUUUUGGCACCUCUAAAAAUGGUGCAGAAUAAGGGGUGGGCAAGUCUGGUGUCAGCCGCCGCGGUAAUACCAGCACCCCGAGUGGUCGGGACGUUUAUUGGGCCUAAAGCAUCCGUAGCCGGUUCCACAAGUCUUCCGUUAAAUCCACCUGCUUAACAGAUGGGCUGCGGAAGAUACUAUGGAGCUAGGAGGCGGGAGAGGCAAGCGGUACUCGAUGGGUAGGGGUAAAAUCCGUUGAUCCAUUGAAGACCACCAGUGGCGAAGGCGGCUUGCCAGAACGCGCUCGACGGUGAGGGAUGAAAGCUGGGGGAGCAAACCGGAUUAGAUACCCGGGUAGUCCCAGCUGUAAACGAUGCAGACUCGGUGAUGAGUUGGCUUUAUGCCAACUCAGUGCCGCAGGGAAGCCGUUAAGUUUGCCGCCUGGGGAGUACGGUCGCGAGACUGAAACUUAAAGGAAUUGGCGGGGGA
rnacentral:rRNA from 1 species